rnacentral:lncRNA from 1 species
GACCAUGCGAAGAACGGGUUGGAGAGUGCCCUCCAGGCCAAAUACCAAACUGCCUGCGAAAAAACAGGAGGGAGCACCAUUUUGCGUGUUCCCCGGCGAAACAAGCUUGUUUCCUCCAGUGGUCAAGACAAUGCGAAGACGCCACUAACUUCUGUUGUAGUCAUUAUCCGACCUACUGUGAUUGUCAUUGUGAGGUCCCGCUCAGAUUGCCGCCGCUUCCAAUACCACUACAACAACAUCCGCGCAAAAAGCGCGGGCCAGGAAGAAUCUAAUUGUCUAAACAACUUUCAACAGCGGAGAAGCUUGGCAAAAUUCCGGUGUGCAACGCUACAUCUGGUUGGGUGAGGAGGAGCUACGUCUCUCGCGAGCAUAGCGUGCGCCGCGCGCUAUGCUGCACCGCUAUGCUCGCGAGAGAGGAGUCUGGACACUGACGUCAUAGCUGCGCCGAGCACGUGUCAGCAGAGUCAUUUGACCGCGCUAAUGAAAGCGGGCGCGCGGCGGCGCCCGGGCAUUUCUCCGCCCUACCGAGAUAUGGCUCGACAUGAGCGCACCUUGACGCCGGAAGAAGAGGCUGCCAGACGAGAGAAGUGCCUUCAAGCCACGCGGGAAAGGAGUCGCCGUCUUCGUGCCGAUCCAGCCUACCUCGCCAACAAAGCCGCCGAUAUGCGACGUUGUCAAGCCGAUCCGGAAUACCUAGAACGCGAGAAUCAAGCCAAGCGUCAACGCCGCGAAAGCGACCCCGGCCUGCUAGGCUUAGGCUAGUUGCUGUAAAGUAUCAUCAUCAAGAUACUCGGAGAUGAAGAGCGAGAGAAUGGCUGCUUGGCGCGAGCGCUCGCUACUUCACUUCUUCAAUAAACCAUUCAUGUUCGAAGCAGUCACCGGUCUCGAUCGUUUUAACAAUGGUGCCAUGACCAUAUAAUCUAUUUCCCUGCAGGAAAAGAUGUAACUGCAGACACCUAUUGGAUACGACAAACACAAGUACUACUCGGGAAGACAAGUGGCGAUGCUAAGUCAAGCACUAAACCCUUUAAAAUAAAUGGACAAGAAGUAUACUGUGACGACAAAGGACUCAUAAGACAGAAAGGACGCUUGCACUACAUCCAAGAAUCAAGCCGGCACGUUAUCGUACUUCCAAAGGACGAGUAUUUCACGUGACUACUGAUACGUCACG